UACGGGGGGUGCAAGCGUUGUUCGGAUUUACUGGGCGUAAAGGGCGCGUAGGCGGUGCGACACGUCACUUGUGAAAUCUCCGGGCUUAACCCGGAGCGGCCAAGUGAUACUGUAGUGCUAGAGUGCGGAAGGGGCUACUGGAAUUCUCGGUGUAGCGGUGAAAUGCGUAGAUAUCGAGAGGAACACCGGCGGCGAAGGCGGGUAGCUGGGCCGACACUGACGCUGAGGCGCGAAAGCCAGGGGAGCGAACGGG
rnacentral:rRNA from 1 species